UACGGAGGGUGCGAGCGUUGUCCGGAUUUAUUGGGUUUAAAGGGUGCGUAGGUGGGUUAAUAAGUCAGUGGUGAAAUACAGCCGCUCAACGGUUGAGGUGCCAUUGAUACUGUUAAUCUUGAAAGAAUUGGAGGCUGCCGGAAUGGAUGGUGUAGCGGUGAAAUGCAUAGAUAUCAUCCAGAACACCGAUUGCGAAGGCAGGUGGCUACGAUUUAUUUGACACUGAGGCACGAAAGCAUGGGGAGCAAACAGG
rnacentral:rRNA from 1 species